rnacentral:misc_RNA from 1 species
GAAAUGCGAUAAGUAAUGUGAAUUGCAGAAUUCAGUGAAUCAUCGAAUCUUUGAACGCACAUUGCGCCCGCCAGUAUUCUGGCGGGCAUGCCUGUUCGAGCGUCAUUUCAACCAUCAAGCCCCCGGCUUGUGUUGGGGACCUGCGGCGGCCCGCAGGCCCUGAAAAACAGUGGCGGGCUCGCUGUCACACCGAGCGUAGUAGCAUACAUUCUCGCUCAGGGCGUGCUGCGGGUUCCGGCCGUUAAACGACCUUCAUAACCCAAGGUUGACCUCGGAUCAGGUAGGAAGACCCGCUGAACUUAAGC